AAGCCGGUCCGCUGCUCGAAUUGAGGUGCGAACCAGCACAGGCCAUUGCAUCGGCACAAGCGCGGGUGGAGUACUGCCUGUUGGUUUUCUGUUGUGGCAGUCAAGGAACGAAGCGUGUGCCCUUCGGGUGGGCCACUAUGCACCUGUACGCUCGUGGUGUUGGUUGGCGGGCUUUCCAUUCGACCCGUCUUCAAACACGGACCAAGGAGUCUAACAUGUGUGCGAGUCAGUGGGUUUGUAAACCUGCGAGGUGUAAGGAAGCUGACGGGCGAGAACUCCUCUCCAUGGGGUGCAUUGUCGACCGACCUUGAGCUUGUGAGAAGGGUUCGAGUGUGAGCACACUUGUUGGGACCCGAAGGAUGGUGAACUAUGCCUGAGCAGGGUGAAGCCAAAGGAAACUCUGGUGGAGGCCCGUAGCGAUACUGACGUGCAAAUCGUUCAUCUGAAUUGGGUAUAGGGGAGAAAGACUAAUCGAACCAUCUAGUAGCUGGUUUCCUCUG
rnacentral:ncRNA from 1 species